ACUCACUUCAUCCAGAAGGCGAGCCCUCGUCUCCUCGCCUGCUCCUUCUUCUCCUGUAGGUGAAGACGGGGCAGGGGUGCUGGUCAGGCCCUGCUGCACAGCCGGAGCUCGUGCAGGACAGUGGCAGCCCCAGCACUGCAGGGAGCCCUGUCCCCGAGGAGAACCUUGUCGGACAGGGUGAGGGUGCGCUGGGCUCUGCCCCUUACCAGCUCUGCCUCCACCAGCUUCGGCAGCACAGCCCCAGGCACGUGGGCUGCCUCCAGCUCCAGCUGAUGCUGCUGCCUGUAGGGAACAAGGCCUGCUUGGAGGGUGCCGGCCUCUGUCAGCACGCGGGCUCCCCAGCAGUGCGUGCCCACCCCCGGGCUGGGGUCGGGCUGCUCUGUCACACCAUAUGCUGAACAGAACCCGAGCCCCAAGCCCAGCAGCACUUGCAGACCCCUGAAAAAUACCAUUGUAUCCACACAGCCACUGAGCGGUUGACCACAACUCUGGCUGUGACCAUCCAUCCAAUUCGACAUACAGUGAGUGGUCCAUCCAGCAAUUCACGCCUCACCCCUCUGUCUUCAGAGGGAAGGGUCUCAUACAGGGCGGUAUCAAAUGUCUUCCACCAGUUCAGGUAGACGGAAAGUGCCAUCCUCUCACCAUCUACCCUCCAGGGUAGAUCCAUCAGCUCCUUUUGGCCUUCCAGCACGCCACACAGAUGAAAUCUCACCGUGACCUUUCAAGUCACAUGCCUGAUGCUGACCUUUCAGGUAGACACGUCCGUGUUAUGCACCCAUCAUGUGUUAAUGUUCGGGGGACAUGAAAACCCGUACCCAAGGCCUCUUCCUGUAUGCAGGCAAUCAGCUUCCCAGGCAGAAGGGAUCUCUCAAUCCACCUGCCAAGCGGGUGCCUUCUGCUGGCUUACCAGACACACGGGGAUGACCAUGAGCUGCAUUCCUAAAGGUCUGUCACUUCCAGAGACAGAAAUAACCUCUCAAACAGCAUCUCAGCCACAUGUUUGGUACAAGGUGGUGAGUUCUGCUUGCACAAGUGACCUCACAGCAACGUAUCCAUGCGUAUACUCAUCUAUAACAUAGCAGAACUUCCCCUCUGGUUGAGGAGGGGAUGGUCCAGAAGAGUCUGGGUGGGAUCAGUGUGGGAUCAGCACAAAUCCAUGGGUCCCGAUGGGAUGCAUCCACGUGUGCUGAGGGAGCUGGCAGAGGUGACUGCUGAACUGCUCUCUAUCGUCUCUGACAGGCCCUGGAAAACAGGAGAGGUGCCUGAAGACUGGAGGAUAGCCAGUGUCCCUCUGGUGUACAGAAAGGGCAAGGAGGAGGGUCUGGGAAACUACAGGCCAGUCAGUCUCACCUCUGUCCCUGGGAAGGUGAUGGAACAGCUGAUUCUGGAUGCCAUCUCCAAGCAAUUGGAAGAGAAGAAGGAUAUGAGGAGUGGUCAGCGUGGGUUCACCAAGAGGAAAUAGCGCUCGGCCAACCUGGUGGCCUUCUGUGAUGGCAUCACAGGUUGGGUGGAUGGGGGUGAGAUCAGGAGCUCAGGUGGGUCUGGGGUUUGAACACAUAGGGGUUAAAUAAGCUAGCUUUAGAAACCAGGGAAGGAGAACGACAUCUCAACAUUUCAUGGUCAGCUGUGCAAACACAAAGAAAGGAAACGAUGCAAAAGGAAUGGCUUUGACUGGUUUGAAUGCACCGUAAGAAGGUCAGACCGAGGAAGACGUGAAGCCUUCGCGAGGAACACUUCUGACUUCAUCCCCACGACCACCAGAGGGAGACCCCUCUUAAGGACAGCGCGUGCGCCGGGGGAGGGGCAGUAUGUAAAUGAAUUUCCGGAAGGAUAAUGAAUAUGUAGAUGACUUCCAAGAAUUCUGCUGAAUAUGUAUGGCUUUGGCUUACAAAUCCGUAGCGCUUUUUGCUCGCUGGUGUGCAAGUUUGGUGGAGUGAUCCCCCUUGCACCCGGCCAGCCAAAUAAACAUACCUGCUUUAUAACCUAACCGGGUAUAGAGUUUGAUUCCACACAUCACUGCCAUUCCUGAGUGGUUGGCACUCCGUUUUCUAACUGCCGUUCCCGUGCUGCUUCCGAGGGAGCGUUUCCCAUUGAGCCCACCUACUUCUUCCCCUUUUUUCACCGUCAGCUUCAUCGCUGAGCCCUCUGACUGCCUUUCAUUCACUUUCCCCCAGUUUGGAAGAUUCCCAUUGCUUAUUAGGCCACAGCGAGACACGUUUAUAAAACACAAAUGUGGAACCCG
ensembl:lncRNA